UACGGGGAGCAAGCGUUGUUCGGAUUACUGGCGUAAGGCGCGUAGGCGGCCACCGCAAGUCAGUUGUGAAGCUCUGGCUUAACCAGAAAGGUCAGCUGAUACUGCGGGCUAGAGUGCAGAAGGGCAACUGGAAUUCUCGGUGUAGCGGUGAAAUGCGUAGAUAUCGAGAGGAACACCUGCGGCGAAGGCGGUGCUGGCUGACACUGACGCUGACAGCGCGAAAGCUAGGGAGCGAACGGG
rnacentral:rRNA from 1 species